rnacentral:rRNA from 1 species
AACGAACGCUGGCGGCAUGCCUAACACAUGCAAGUCGAACGAGACCUUCGGGUCUAGUGUCGCACGGGUGCGUAACGCGUGGGAACCUGCCCUUAGGGUCGGACUAACUCCCCGAAAGGGGUGCUAAUACCGGAUAAUGUCUUCGGACCAAUGAUUUAUCGCCUCUGGAGGUGCCCGCGUUGGAUUAGCUAGUUGUUAGGGUAAAAGCUUACCAAGGCGACGAUCCGUAGCUGGUCUGAGAGGAGGAUCAGCCACACUGGGAGUGAGACACGGCCCGGACUCCUACGGGAGGCGGCAGUGGGGGAUAUUGGAAAAUGGGCGGAAGCCUGAUGCAGCAAUGCCGGGUGAGUGAUGAAGGCCUUAGGGUUGUAAAGCUCUUUUACCCGGGAUGAUAAUGACGGUACCGGGAGAAUAAGCUACGGCUAACUCCGUG